AAGCAAACCUCUAGCGUGUCUGGGUCUGAGGUUACCCUGUGCAUUCCUAUAGAGCUUGCAAGAACAUUAUGAAAUGGUCGAGGCUUGCACCGUCCCAUCCAGAACAAGGUGACAGAAAUCUCAGACAUUU